rnacentral:rRNA from 1 species
GUGGAUUAGAUACCCUUGUAGUCCACGCCCUAAACGAUGAUGACUAGUUGUUGGAGGAGUUAAAUCCUUUAGUAACGCAGCUAACGCGCGAAGUCAUCCGCCUGGGGAGUACGGUCGCAAGAUUAAAACUCAAAGGAAUUGACGGGGGCCCGCACAAGCGGUGGAUGAUGUGGUUUAAUUCGAUGCAACGCGAAAAACCUUACCUACCCUUGACAUGCUAGGAACGCUGCAGAAAUGCAGCGGUGCCCGAAAGGGAACCUAGACACAGGUGCUGCACGGCUGUCGACAACU